rnacentral:rRNA from 1 species
AUUGAACGCUGGCGGCAUGCUUUACACAUGCAAGUCGAACGGCAGCGCGGGCUUCGGCCUGGCGGCGAGUGGCGAACGGGUGAGUAAUACAUCGGAACGUGCCCAGUAGUGGGGGAUAGCUCGGCGAAAGCCGGAUUAAUACCGCAUACGACCUGAGGGUGAAAGCGGGGGAUCUUCGGACCUCGCGCUAUUGGAGCGGCCGAUGGCAGAUUAGCUAGUUGGUGGGGUAAAGGCCUACCAAGGCGACGAUCGGUAGCUGGUCUGAGAGGACGACCAGCCACACUGGGACUGAGACACGGCCCAGACUCCUACGGGAGGCAGCAGUGGGGAAUUUUGGACAAUGGGCGAAAGCCUGAUCCAGCAAUGCCGCGUGUGUGAUGAAGGCCUUCGGGUUGUAAAGCACUUUUGGCGGGAACGAAAAGGACUGUGCCAAUACCACGGUUCGAUGACGGUACCCGCAGAAUAAGCACCGGCUAACUACGUG